rnacentral:rRNA from 1 species
UGGGGAAUAUUGCACAAUGGGGGGAAACCCUGAUGCAGCGACGCCGCGUGAGCGAUGAAGUAUUUCGGUAUGUAAAGCUCUAUCAGCAGGGAAGAAAAUGACGGUACCUGACUAAGAAGCCCCGGCUAACUACGUGCC